CCAGGCUCAGCAGGAAGAGGAAUGUGCAUCCGACCUUGUGCGGAAGUUUGUCUCCAUGAGGUCAUACAGCUGCUUGAGGUUGCUCGGAGAGUAAGAAGCAGAAUGAGAACUAGAACAGAAGCUCACUUUGGCCUGAAGGCUCAUGUGCUGAGCAUCUUCCCUUGUCUGUCUCCACCCCUAGCCUGGUGCCCAGCAUGUAGAAGACCUUCAUCCUAGAUGCAAUGGGAUUAAACUUGGAGAAAAUGGGAUUAAACUUGGACAAACACUACCUAUUUGGACUUGUGAUGAUGGCUUUCAAACUUCUUAAAGCAAUGAAGUAUUUUUUCCAGAAGAAACCUUACACAAGAAGCCCAGCACACUGAGUCAAGCAUAUGUAGGUGGAAGAUAUCUGGUUGAGACCAAGUAGAGAUAAACCUGUAGAUUCAACUGUGCCACCACAGUGAAUUCUAAGAAUCCACUGACUGUGAUCUGUAAGCUCCUACUCCACAGGAGGUCAGGGCACACAGCUUGAAACCGGAAGGCAGAAGAGUGACAGGGAAGGGUCAUGGACUCUGAAAUUAGAGCUAUCUGUGUUUUAAUACUAGUUCCAAUAGGCACAUGGUCUUGGAUAAAUGGUUUAAAUUAUCUGAGUCUCAAUUUCUUUCUCUGCAAAAAGGGAUGAUUAGUACAUAUGUAAUAGGGUUUUUAUAGAAAAUUGUAUAACUUGUUAAACACACAUGUACUAAGUGCUUGGUGCCCAGUAUGCACUGAAUAAAUGCUAGCUCCUUGCCUUUCAUCUCUAUGACCCUUCCCAAAUCUCUCAGCCCCAUAUUGCUUCAUGUAGUGUGUGUAUAUUUGGGAAAAUUUGUGUGCAUAUUUACAGAUGGGAUCCUACUCUUCUAUUGACAGACUGUCUUUUCAGAUGUGCCUUACUUUCAUUGCAUUGGUUUUUCAACUGAAAGUGAACAUAAAGGUUUUAAGCAUGCCUAGGUCUUAUCUUUUUGGUCAAAUAUCUAACACCCUCAAUAACAGUUGUAAAUCAUUCUUUUGUAAUUUGAUCAUUCAUUUUUAUAAAGUAAAACACAACUGCCCACUGUAAAAAUAGACUUCAUUUGCUCUUUUCUUCCAGUGCAGCAAAUGACAGACACUUUAAGAACACACAUUUAACUUCAGCAAACAAAUCAUGUAUAUUUUAGACAUAACUGUCAAGUAUAGAAAUGAUACCAUCCAACUUACCAAACUAUCACAUAAGAAUGCCCAAUAGCAGACAUUAGGAUGGGGCAAAACUGAAAGAAGGAUUGACUUCAUCAAACCCUUGAUGACAUACAAAAUGGAAACCAUUCAAGUUCAACUGAAGAAAACGAUAUCCCACAAGAUCUAGGGGUAAAAAGCAGACAAAGUUUAGGAAUGAAUUUAAACUACUGACUUACGUGUUGUCAGGAGUCUAUUUCUAUUCCUCAAUUUUACUCCUUUUUGU
rnacentral:lncRNA from 1 species